GUAGGUGGCAAGCGUUGUCCGGAAUUAUUGGGCGUAAAGCGCGCGCAGGUGGUUCUUUAAGUCUGAUGUGAAAGCCCCCGGGCUCAACCGGGGAGGGUCAUUGGAAACUGGGGAACUUGAGUGCAGGAGAGGAAAGUGGAAUUCCACGUGUAGCGGUGAAAUGCGUAGAUAUGUGGAGGAACACCAGUGGCGAAGGCGACUUUCUGGCCUGUAACUGACACUGAGGCGCGAAAGCGUGGGGAGCAAACAGGAUUAGAUACCCUGGUAGUCCACGCCGUAAACGAUGAGUGCUAAGUGUUGGGGGGUUUCCGCCCCUCAGUGCUGCAGCUAACGCAUUAAGCACUCCGCCGGGGGAGUACGGUCGCAAAGACUGA
rnacentral:rRNA from 1 species